rnacentral:rRNA from 1 species
AUUGAACGCUGGCGGCAGGCCUAACACAUGCAAGUCGAACGGUAACAGGAAGCAGCUUGCUGCUUCGCUGACGAGUGGCGGACGGGUGAGUAAUGUCUGGGAAGCUGCCUGAUGGAGGGGGAUAACUACUGGAAACGGUAGCUAAUACCGCAUAAUGUCGCAAGACCAAAGAGGGGGACCUUCGGGCCUCUUGCCAUCGGAUGUGCCCAGAUGGGAUUAGCUUGUUGGUGGGGUAACGGCUCACCAAGGCGACGAUCCCUAGCUGGUCUGAGAGGAUGACCAUCCACACUGGAACUGAGACACGGUCCAGACUCCUACGGGAGGCAGCAGUGGGGAAUAUUGCACAAUGGGCGCAAGCCUGAUGCAGCCAUGCCGCGUGUAUGAAGAAGGCCUUCGGGUUGUAAAGUACUUUCAGCGGGGAGGAAGGGAGUAAAGUUAAUACCUUUGCUCAUUGACGUUACCCGCAGAAGAAGCACCGGCUAACUCCGUG